GCUGGGUGUGGUGGCUCACGCCUGUAAUCCUAGCACUUCGGGAGGCUGAGGCAGGAGGAUUGCUUGAGCCCAGGAGAUUGAGACCAGCCUGGGCAACAUAGUGAGACCCUGUCUCUA
ensembl:misc_RNA Metazoa_SRP Metazoan signal recognition particle RNA